GGUGCCAUAGCUCAGUUGGUAGAGCGAAGGACUGAAAAUCCUUGUGUCCCCGGUUCGAUUCCUGGUGGCACCA
rnacentral:tRNA from 1 species